UAGGGAAUCUUCCGCAAUGGACGAAAGUCUGACGGAGCAACGCCGCGUGAGUGAUGAAGGUUUUCGGAUCGUAAAACUCUGUUGUUAGGGAAGAACAAGUACCGUUCGAAUAGGGCGGUACCUUGACGGUACCUAACCAGAAAGCCACGGCUAACUACGUGCCAGCAGCCGCGGUAAUACGUAGGUGGCAAGCGUUGUCCGGAAUUAUUGGGCGUAAAGCGCGCGCAGGCGGUCCUUUAAGUCUGAUGUGAAAGCCACGCGCUCAACCGUGGGAGGGUCAGUUCUGGAAAACCUGGGGGGACUUGAGUGCAGAAGAGGAGAGUGGAAUUCCACGUGUAGCGGUGAAAUUGCGUAGAGAUGUGGAGGAACACCAGUGGC
rnacentral:rRNA from 1 species